GAUGAAGAACGUAGUGAAAUGCGAUACGUAAUGUGAAUUGCAGAAUUCAGUGAAUCAUCGAGUCUUUGAACGCACAUUGCGCCCCCUGGUAUUCCGGGGGGCAUGCCUGCCCGAGCGUCAUUGCUGCCCUCAAGCACGGCUUGUGUGUUGGGCCUCCGUCCUCCUCCCGGGGGACGGGCCCGAAAGGCAGCGGCGGCACCGCGUCCGGUCCUCGAGCGUAUGGGGCUUCGUCACCCGCUCUUGUAGGCCCGGCCGGCGCUUGCCGACACAUCAAUCUUUUUUCCAGGUUGACCUCGGAUCAGGUAGGGAUACCCGCUGAACUUAAGCAUAUCAAUAAGCGGAGGA
rnacentral:misc_RNA from 1 species